UAGAGACCGGCGCACGGGUGCGUAACGCGUAUGCAAUCUACCUUUUACAGAGGGAUAGCCCAGAGAAAUUUGGAUUAAUACCUCAUAGUAUAUAGCCCUGGCAUCAGGAUUAUAUUAAAGUCACAACGGUAAAAGAUGAGCAUGCGUCCCAUUAGCUAGUUGGUAAGGUAACGGCUUACCAAGGCUACGAUGGGUAGGGGUCCUGAGAGGGAGAUCCCCCACACUGGUACUGAGACACGGACCAGACUCCUACGGGAGGCAGCAGUGAGGAAUAUUGGACAAUGGGCGCAAGCCUGAUCCAGCCAUGCCGCGUGCAGGAUGACGGUCCUAUGGAUUGUAAACUGCUUUUAUACGAGAAGAAACACUGCUUCGUGAAGCAGCUUGACGGUAUCGUAAGAAUAAGGAUCGGCUAACUCCGUGCCAGCAGCCGCGGUAAUACGGAGGAUCCAAGCGUUAUCCGGAAUCAUUGGGUUUAAAGGGUCCGUAGGCGGUUUAAUAAGUCAGUGGUGAAAGCCCAUCGCUCAACGGUGGAACGGCCAUUGAUACUGUUAAACUUGAAUUAUUAGGAAGUAACUAGAAUAUGUAGUGUAGCGGUGAAAUGCUUAGAGAUUACAUGGAAUACCAAUUGCGAAGGCAGGUUACUACUAAUGGAUUGACGCUGAUGGACGAAAGCGUGGGUAGCGAACAGGAUUAGAUACCCUGGUAGUCCACGCCGUAAACGAUGGAUACUAGCUGUUGGAAGCAAUUUCAGUGGCUAAGCGAAAGUGAUAAGUAUCCCACCUGGGGAGUACGUUCGCAAGAAUGAAACUCAAAGGAAUUGACGGGGGCCCGCACAAGCGGUGGAGCAUGUGGUUUAAUUCGAUGAUACGCGAGGAACCUUACCAAGGCUUAAAUGUAGAUUGACCGGUUUGGAAACAGAUCUUUCGCAAGACAAUUUACAAGGUGCUGCAUGGUUGUCGUCAGCUCGUGCCGUGAGGUGUCAGGUUAAGUCCUAUAACGAGCGCAACCCCUGUUGUUAGUUGCCAGCGAGUCAAGUCGGGAAC
rnacentral:rRNA from 1 species